AUUGAACGCUGGCGGCAUGCCUUACACAUGCAAGUCGAACGGCAGCACGGGAGCUUGCUCCUGGUGGCGAGUGGCGAACGGGUGAGUAAUACAUCGGAACGUACCCUGAAGUGGGGGAUAACGUAGCGAAAGUUACGCUAAUACCGCAUAUUCUGUGAGCAGGAAAGAGGGGGAUCGCAAGACCUCUUGCUUUAGGAGCGGCCGAUGUCGGAUUAGCUAGUUGGUGAGGUAAAGGCUCACCAAGGCGACGAUCCGUAGCGGGUCUGAGAGGAUGAUCCGCCUCACUGGGACUGAGACACGGCCCAGACUCCUACGGGAGGCAGCAGUGGGGAAUUUUGGACAAUGGGCGCAAGCCUGAUCCAGCCAUGCCGCGUGAGUGAAGAA
rnacentral:rRNA from 1 species